UCUAAAUAGUUUAUGUAAAAUAUUGAUUUGUGGUGUCAAAGUUAUAGGGCUAGUUUAUUUUAGAUUA
rnacentral:tRNA from 1 species